rnacentral:rRNA from 1 species
AGUGAACGCUGGCGGUAGGCCUAACACAUGCAAGUCGAACGGCAGCACAGUAAGAGCUUGCUCUUACGGGUGGCGAGUGGCGGACGGGUGAGGAAUACAUCGGAAUCUACUUUUUCGUGGGGGAUAACGUAGGGAAACUUACGCUAAUACCGCAUACGACCUACGGGUGAAAGCAGGGGAUCUUCGGACCUUGCGCGAUUGAAUGAGCCGAUGUCGGAUUAGCUAGUUGGCGGGGUAAAGGCCCACCAAGGCGACGAUCCGUAGCUGGUCUGAGAGGAUGGUCGGCGGCACUGGAACUGAGACAGGGUCCAGAGUCCUGCGAGAGGGAGCAGUGGGGAAUGUUGGACAAUGGGGGCAAGCAUGGUCCAGUCAUACCAAGUGGGUGAAGAAGGCGUUCGGGUUGUAAAGCCCUUUUGUUGGGAAAGAACAGCAGCAGGUUAAUACCCCGCUGUUCUGACGGUACCCAAAGAAUAAGCACCGGCUAACUUCGUG